AAUGAACGUUGGCGGCGUGGAUUAGGCAUGCAAGUCGAGCGAGAACCCAGCAAUGGGGGACAGCGGCGCAAGGGACAGUAAUGCGUAGAUCAUCUGCCCUCAGGACCGGGAUAGCUGCGGGAAACUGCAGGUAAUACCGGAUAACAUCUCCGGAUCAAAGGUGUGAUUCCGCCUGAGGAUGAGUCUACAUCCUAUUAGCUAGUUGGUAGGGUAACGGCCUGCCAAGGCGAUGAUGGGUAGCGGGUGUGAGAGCACGACCCGCGUCAUUGGGACUGAGACACUGCCCAGACACCUACGGGUGGCUGCAGUCGAGAAUCUUCGGCAAUGGGCGCAAGCCUGACCGAGCGACGCCGCGUGUGGGAUGAAGGCCUUCGGGUUGUAAACCACUGUUAGAGGGGAUGAAAUGCAGGUGGGUUCUCCCAUCUGUUUGACAUAGCCUCAGAGGAAGGACGGGCUAAGUUCGUGCCAGCCGCCGCGGUAAAAC
rnacentral:rRNA from 1 species